rnacentral:rRNA from 1 species
GACGAACGCUGGCGGCGUGCCUAAUACAUGCAAGUCGAGCGAAGUUUUUCUGGUGCUUGCACCGGAAAAACUUAGCGGCGAACGGGUGAGUAACACGUAAAGAACCUGCCUUAUAGACUGGGACAACUAUUGGAAACGAUAGCUAAUACCGGAUAACAGCAUUAACUGCAUGGUUGAUGUUUGAAAGUUGGUUUUGCUAACACUAUGAGAUGGCUUUGCGGUGCAUUAGCUAGUUGGUGGGGUAAAGGCCUACCAAGGUGACGAUGCAUAGCCGACCUGAGAGGGUGAUCGGCCACACUGGGACUGAGACACGGCCCAGACUCCUACGGGAGGCAGCAGUAGGGAAUCUUCCGCAAUGGGCGAAAGCCUGACGGAGCAACGCCGCGUGAGUGAAGAAGGAUUUCGGUUCGUAAAGCUCUGUUGUUAGGGAAGAAUGAUUGUGUAGUAACUAUACACAGUAGAGACGGUACCUAACCAGAAAGCCACGGCUAACUACGUG